UACAGAGGUCUCAAGCGUUGUUCGGAUUCAUUGGGCGUAAAGGGCGCGUAGGCGGCGGGGUAAGUCGGGUGUGAAAUCUCAGAGCUCAACUCUGAAACUGCACUCGAUACUGCUCUGCUUGAGGACUGGAGAGGAGACUGGAAUUCACGGUGUAGCAGUGAAAUGCGUAGAUAUCGUGAGGAAGACCAGUGGCGAAGGCGGGUCUCUGGACAGUUCCUGACGCUGAGGCACGGAGGUCAGGGGAGCAAACGGG
rnacentral:rRNA from 1 species